rnacentral:rRNA from 1 species
AGUCAAGUAAUUAAGUGCAUGUGGUGGAUGCCUUGGCAGUCAGAGGCGAUGAAAGACGUGAUAGCCUGCGAAAAGCUCCGGGGAGGCGGCAAAUAUCCUUUGAUCCGGAGAUGUCUGAAUGGGGGAACCCACCUACUUUAAGGUAGGUAUUGCAACAUGAAUACAUAGUGUUGCAAGGCGAACGAGGGGAAGUGAAACAUCUCAGUACCCUUAGGAAAAGAAAUCAAUUGAGAUUCCCUCAGUAGCGGCGAGCGAACGGGGAUCAGCCCAUUAAGUUAUGUGUGUUUUAGUGGAACGCUCUGGGAAGUGCGAACGUAGAGGGUGAUAUUCCCGUACACGAAAGGGCACACAUAAUGAUGACGAGUAGGGCGAGGCACGUGAAACCUUGUCUGAAUAUGGGGGGACCAUCCUCCAAGGCUAAAUACUCCUGACUGACCGAUAGUGAACCAGUACCGUGAGGGAAAGGCGAAAAGAACCCCUGUGAGGGGAGUGAAAUAGAUCCUGAAACCGCAUGCAUACAAGCAGUGGGAGCACCUUCGUGGUGUGACUGCGUACCUUUUGUAUAAUGGGUCAGCGACUUAUAUUCAGUAGCGAGGUUAACCGUAUAGGGGAGCCGUAGAGAAAUCGAGUCUUAAUAGGGCGUUUAGUUGCUGGGUAUAGACCCGAAACCAGGCGAUCUAUCCAUGAGCAGGUUGAAGGUUGGGUAACACUAACUGGAGGACCGAACCCACUGUCGUUGAAAAGCCAGGGGAUGACUUGUGGAUAGGGGUGAAAGGCUAAUCAAGCCUGGUGAUAGCUGGUUCUCCCCGAAAGCUAUUUAGGUAGCGCCUCGGACGAAUACCAUAGGGGGUAGAGCACUGUUUCGGCUAGGGGGUCAUCCCGACUUACCAAACCGAUGCAAACUCCGAAUACCUAUGAGUACUAUCCGGGAGACAGACUGCGGGUGCUAACGUCCGUAGUCAAGAGGAAAACAAUCCAGACCGCCAGCUAAGGCCCCAAAAUCAUAGUUAAGUGGGAAACGAUGUGGGAAGGCAUAGACAGCUAGGAGGUUGGCUUAGAAGCAGCCACCCUUUAAAGAAAGCGUAAUAGCUCACUAGUCGAGUCGGCCUGCGCGGAAGAUGUAACGGGGCUAAAACUAUGUGCCGAAGCUGCGGAUGUAUACUUUGUAUACGUGGUAGGGGAGCGUUCUGUAAGCCGAUGAAGGUGUGUUGAGAAGCAUGCUGGAGGUAUCAGAAGUGCGAAUGCUGACGUGAGUAACGACAAAACGGGUGAAAAACCCGUUCGCCGAAAGACCAAGGGUUCCAGUCCAACGUUAAUCGGGGCUGGGUGAGUCGACCCCUAAGGCGAGGCCGAAAGGCGUAGUCGAUGGGAAAAUGGUUAAUAUUCCAUUACUUCUGUGUAAUGCGAUGAGAGGACGGAGAAGGCUAAAUCAGCCUGGCGUUGGUUGUCCAGGUGAAAGGAUGUAGGCAUGUAUCUUAGGCAAAUCCGGGGUACUCUAUGCUGAGAUCUGAUAGCAAGCUGUACUUGUACAGCGAAGUGGUUGAUGCCAUGCUUCCAGGAAAAGUCUCUAAGCUUCAGUUACACAGGAAUCGUACCCGAAACCGACACAGGUGGUCAGGUCGAGUAGACCAAGGCGCUUGAGAGAACUCUGCUGAAGGAACUAGGCAAAAUGGUACCGUAACUUCGGGAGAAGGUACGCUGUUGUUGGUGAUGGAACUCGCUUCCUGAGCUGACGACAGCCGCAGAAACCAGGCCGCUGCAACUGUUUAUUAAAAACAUAGCACUCUGCAAACACGAAAGUGGACGUAUAGGGUGUGAUGCCUGCCCGGUGCUGGAAGGUUAAUUGAUGGGGUUAGCGUAAGCGAAGCUCUUGAUCGAAGCCCCAGUAAACGGCGGCCGUAACUAUAACGGUCCUAAGGUAGCGAAAUUCCUUGUCGGGUAAGUUCCGACCUGCACGAAUGGCAUAAUGAUGGCGGCGCUGUCUCCAGCAGAGGCUCAGUGAAAUCGAAAUCGCUGUGAAGAUGCAGUGUACCCGCGGCUAGACGGAAAGACCCCGUGAACCUUUACUGCAGCUUGACACUGAACUUUGACCUUACUUGUGUAGGAUAGGUGGGAGGCUUUGAAGCUGGAACGCUAGUUCCAGUGGAGCCGUCCUUGAAAUACCACCCUGGUAAUGUUGAGGUUCUAACUCUGUCCCGUGAUCCGGGACGAGGACCGUGUCUGGUGGGUAGUUUGACUGGGGCGGUCUCCUCCUAAAGAGUAACGGAGGAGUACGAAGGUGCGCUCAGCGUGGUCGGAAAUCACGCGUAGAGUAUAAAGGCAAAAGCGCGCUUAACUGCGAGACCCACAAGUCGAGCAGGUACGAAAGUAGGUCUUAGUGAUCCGGUGGUUCUGUAUGGAAGGGCCAUCGCUCAACGGAUAAAAGGUACUCUGGGGAUAACAGGCUGAUACCGCCCAAGAGUUCAUAUCGACGGCGGUGUUUGGCACCUCGAUGUCGGCUCAUCUCAUCCUGGGGCUGAAGCAGGUCCCAAGGGUAUGGCUGUUCGCCAUUUAAAGAGGUACGCGAGCUGGGUUUAGAACGUCGUGAGACAGUUCGGUCCCUAUCUACCGUGGGCGCUGGAAAUUUGAGAGGAUCUGCUCCUAGUACGAGAGGACCAGAGUGGACGAACCUCUGGUGUACCGGUUGUGACGCCAGUCGCAUCGCCGGGUAGCUAUGUUCGGAAGGGAUAACCGCUGAAAGCAUCUAAGCGGGAAGCCUACCUCAAGAUAAGAUUUCCCUAGGACUUUAUGUCCUCUAAAGAGCCGUUCGAGACUAGGACGUUGAUAGGUUGGAGGUGGAAGCAUAGUGAUAUGUGAAGCUGACCAAUACUAAUUGCUCGUGAGGCUUGACUAUACAACACCC